rnacentral:rRNA from 1 species
ACGUAGGGGGCGAGCGUUGUUCGGAUUUACUGGGCGUAAAGAGCGCGUAGGUGGUUCGAUAAGUCGGAGGUGAAAGCCCUCGGCUCAACCGCGGAACCGCGUCCGAUACUGUUGGACUUGAGUGCGGGAGAGGAGAGCGGAAUUCCCAGUGUAGCGGUGAAAUGCGUAGAUACUGGGAGGAACACCGGUGGCGAAGGCGGCUCUCUGGACCGUUACUGACACUGAGGCGCGAAAGCUAGGGGAGCAAACGG